rnacentral:rRNA from 1 species
GAUGAACGCUGGCGGCGUGCCUAAUACAUGCAAGUCGAGCGAACGGACGAGAAGCUUGCUUCUCUGAUGUUAGCGGCGGACGGGUGAGUAACACGUGGGUAACCUACCUAUAAGACUGGGAUAACUUCGGGAAACCGGAGCUAAUACCGGAUAAUAUUUUGAACCGCAUGGUUCAAAAGUGAAAGACGGUCUUGCUGUCACUUAUAGAUGGAUCCGCGCUGCAUUAGCUAGUUGGUAAGGUAACGGCUUACCAAGGCAACGAUGCAUAGCCGACCUGAGAGGGUGAUCGGCCACACUGGAACUGAGACACGGUCCAGACUCCUACGGGAGGCAGCAGUAGGGAAUCUUCCGCAAUGGGCGAAAGCCUGACGGAGCAACGCCGCGUGAGUGAUGAAGGUCUUCGGAUCGUAAAACUCUGUUAUUAGGGAAGAACAUAUGUGUAAGUAACUGUGCACAUCUUGACGGUACCUAAUCAGAAAGCCACGGCUAACUACGUGCCAGCAGCCGCGGUAAUACGUAGGUGGCAAGCGUUAUCCGGAAUUAUUGGGCGUAAAGCGCGCGUAGGCGGUUUUUUAAGUCUGAUGUGAAAGCCCACGGCUCAACCGUGGAGGGUCAUUGGAAACUGGAAAACUUGGGUGCAGAAGAGGAAAGUGGAAUUCCAUGUGUAGCGGUGAAAUGCGCAGAGAUAUGGAGGAACACCAGUGGCGAAGGCGACUUUCUGGUCUGUAACUGACGCUGAUGUGCGAAAGCGUGGGGAUCAAACAGGAUUAGAUACCCUGGUAGUCCACGCCGUAAACGAUGAGUGCUAAGUGUUAGGGGGUUUCCGCCCCUUAGUGCUGCAGCUAACGCAUUAAGCACUCCGCCUGGGGAGUACGACCGCAAGGUUGAAACUCAAAGGAAUUGACGGGGACCCGCACAAGCGGUGGAGCAUGUGGUUUAAUUCGAAGCAACGCGAAGAACCUUACCAAAUCUUGACAUCCUUUGACAACUCUAGAGAUAGAGCUUUCCCCUUCGGGGGACAAAGUGACAGGUGGUGCAUGGUUGUCGUCAGCUCGUGUCGUGAGAUGUUGGGUUAAGUCCCGCAACGAGCGCAACCCUUAAGCUUAGUCGCCAUCAUUAAGUUGGGCACUCUAAGUUGACUGCCGGUGACAAACCGGAGGAAGGUGGGGAUGACGUCAAAUCAUCAUGCCCCUUAUGAUUUGGGCUACACACGUGCUACAAUGGACAAUACAAAGGGCAGCGAAACCGUGAGGUCAAGCAAAUCCCAUAAAGUUGUUCUCAGUUCGGAUUGUAGUCUGCAACUCGACUACAUGAAGCUGGAAUCGCUAGUAAUCGUAGAUCAGCAUGCUACGGUGAAUACGUUCCCGGGUCU